AUCAUCAUCAACAACGAAGAGCAGAAUUAUAUUCGCUCAUGACAUUUCGUAUAUUCAUCAUGCAAAUCGUUUAUUUUGGAAUGCUAAACAUUGACGACUGCAUGACUUUCCUAACAGACUGUCCAGAGCUAUACGCCGAUUAUUUUCAUCUCUCAUAAUAUCCUCUAUGGCGGAAGACCUAAACUAUGUCUCGGAAACUGCAGCAAUUGAGGCGUCACUAUUUAAAAGACAUAAUGGGUCUCAGAAAUGUUCUGAUGACAAAACUGACGGUCGCCCUACCAAGAAAGAAAUGCUUACUGAUGACACUCUCUCAAGCUCUUCAAAAAUGUCUGCUGUCAAAGAAAUCUACCCACGAGGACUCGAAACUUCAUCAUGUACACAUUUAAAGACUUCCUCGCCAGUAUUUCUAAGUCGUAAAUCAACGAUCAUGCAACAUGAAGAUUUGGACCUUCACACUCUAUCAAUUGAAGAUGAAAUACCAGUACAUGAUAUUAUGCAUCCAUCGUUAUCUCCGAGGGAUGAAGAAUUUCCAACGUCCUGCAAGACGGGUUCCGAAAAAUCUCCCACGGAUGGAAAGAGUGAAAAGUCACACGAGGUCCAACAUAAAGAAAACGAACCUUCUUCUUGGUGGUUUGGUCGGUUGUGGCCUUUCUCACGCCGGAAGUCACAUAUCUAUCUUUGUACCUCCAUGGAUCCCAGUACCAUCUCAGGAUUCAAGGAGCGUUUGAAGACGAUGUGUGAUCCAUGCAGAAACAUCCUCCAAGAGCAAGAACUCCCUCACUGUGGACUGGAUGAGUUCAGGUUGCCAUCAGA